rnacentral:rRNA from 1 species
CAGCAGCCGCGGUAAUACAGAGGGUGCGAGCGUUAAUCGGAUUUACUGGGCGUAAAGCGUGCGUAGGCGGCUUUUUAAGUCGGAUGUGAAAUCCCUGAGCUUAACUUAGGAAUUGCAUUCGAUACUGGGAAGCUAGAGUAUGGGAGAGGAUGGUAGAAUUCCAGGUGUAGCGGUGAAAUGCGUAGAGAUCUGGAGGAAUACCGAUGGCGAAGGCAGCCAUCUGGCCUAAUACUGACGCUGAGGUACGAAAGCAUGGGGAGCAAACAGGAUUAGAGACCCGAGUAGUCCCUGUCUCUUAUAC